GCCUCUUUAGCUCAGCCGGUAGAGCAGCUCAUUCGUAACGAGCAGGUCGCAGGUUCAAGUCCUGUAAGAGGCU
rnacentral:tRNA from 2 species